GGAUCUUCGAGUUUUGCAGGACCACGUGGGACAACGUAAUGCGAAAGUCUUCAUAUUAACUUUCAAGAGAACGAAAUCUGCUCAAAAUUUGUCCGAUCAUCCUGUCGAAAAGCAGGAAUAAGCAAUCGUUGGUCUGGCACGAGAUCUUCAAUUCCUUCGUGUUGCUAGGUAACCCUUGCGAUGCUGUCAUUUCUCCAAAAAUAACUUCUGCACACAAUUGUACUUACCAACAGCCGUGGUCAAAAUCAAAUUGCUGUGC